rnacentral:rRNA from 1 species
AACGCUAGCUACAGGCUUAACACAUGCAAGUCGAGGGGCAGCAUGAACUUAGCUUGCUAAGUUUGAUGGCGACCGGCGCACGGGUGAGUAACACGUAUCCAACCUGCCGAUGACUCGGGGAUAGCCUUUCGAAAGAAAGAUUAAUACCCGAUGGCAUAGUUCUUCCGCAUGGUGGAACUAUUAAAGAAUUUCGGUCAUCGAUGGGGAUGCGUUCCAUUAGGUUGUUGGCGGGGUAACGGCCCACCAAGCCUUCGAUGGAUAGGGGUUCUGAGAGGAAGGUCCCCCACAUUGGAACUGAGACACGGUCCAAACUCCUACGGGAGGCAGCAGUGAGGAAUAUUGGUCAAUGGACGAGAGUCUGAACCAGCCAAGUAGCGUGAAGGAUGACUGCCCUAUGGGUUGUAAACUUCUUUUAUACGGGAAUAAAGUGAGGCACGUGUGCCUUUUUGUAUGUACCGUAUGAAUAAGGAUCGGCUAACUCCGUGCCAGCAGCCGCGGUAAUACGGAGGAUCCGAGCGUUAUCCGGAUUUACUGGGUUUAAAGGGAGCGUAGGCGGACGCUUAAGUCAGUUGUGAAAGUUUGCGGCUCAACCGUAAAAUUGCAGUUGAUACUGGGUUUCUUGAGUACAGUAGAGGUGGGCGGAAUUCGUGGUGUAGCGGUGAAAUGCUUAGAUAUCACGAAGAACUCCGAUUG